rnacentral:rRNA from 1 species
UAGGGAAUCUUCCACAAUGGACGCAAGUCUGAUGGAGCAACGCGCGUGAGUGAAGAAGGUCUUCGGAUCGUAAAGCUCUGUUGUUGGUGAAGAAGGAUAGAGGCAGUAACUGGUCUUUAUUUGACGGUAAUCAACCAGAAAGUCACGGCUAACUACGUGCCAGCAGCCGCGGUAAUACGUAGGUGGCAAGCGUUGUCCGGAUUUAUUGGGCGUAAAGCGAGCGCAGGCGGAAUGAUAAGUCUGAUGUGAAGGCCCACGGCUCAACCGUGGAACUGCAUCGGAAACUGUCAUUCUUGAGUGCAGAAGAGGAGAGUGGAACUCCAUGUGUAGCGGUGGAAUGCGUAGAUAUAUGGAAGAACACCAGUGGCGAAGGCGGCUCUCUGGUCUGCAACUGACGCUGAGGCUCGAAAGCAUGGGUAGCGAACAGGAUUAGAUACCCUGGUAGUCCAUGCCGUAAACGAUGAGCGCUAGGU